rnacentral:rRNA from 1 species
AGAGUUUGAUCCUGGCUCAGGACGAACGCUGGCGGCGUGCCUAAAACAUGCAAGUCGAACGGGGUAGCAAUACCCAGUGGCGAACGGCGGAGUAAGACGUGAACAACGUGCCCUGAAGUCCGGGACAAACGCAGAAAUGCCAUAAAUACCGGAUGUGGCGACUCUCUGGCAUCAGAGAGUCUUUAAAUGGUUUUUCGCUUCAGGAGCGGUUCACGGCCCAUCAGCUAGUUGGCGGGGUAAAAGCCCACCAAGGCGACGACGGGUAGGGGGUCUGAGAGGAUGAUCCCCCCGAGUGGGACUGAGACACGGCCCACACACCUACGGGUGGCAGCAGUUGGGAAUCUUGCACAAUGGGGGAAACCCUGAUGCAGCGACGCCGCGUGGAGGAUGAAGGGUUUAGGCUCGUAAACUCCUUUUAUGGGGAAAGACUUAGGACGGUACCCCAUGAAUAAGGACCGGCUAACUACGUGCCAGCAGCCGCGGUAAGACGUAGGGUCCAAGCGUUGUCCGGAUUUACUGGGCGUAAAGCGCGCGUAGGCGGCUCGUUAAGUGAGAAGUGAAAGCUCUGGGCUCAACCCAGAAACCGCUUUUCAUACUGGCGAGCUGGAGUGAUGCAGAGGUGGAUGGAAUUCCCGGUGUAGCGGUGAAAUGCGUUGAUAUCGGGAGGAACACCCGUGGCGAAGGCGGUCCACUGGGCAUCAACUGACGCUGAGGCGCGAAAGCGUGGGUAGCAAACAGGAUUAGAUACCCUGGUAGUCC